GUACUUCCACCCUUCAUCAAUCACGCCAACUGCGAACAGCAGUCCCGCUUCGCUGAGCCUUUUUGCCUUCCGGCGUUUUCUGAUCACUUCCGCCAGUUGAUAGAACGGAAAAAUCCUGCUUCUCCCAAGUGAAAAUCCACUUAAUCUCAGCCCCCGAAUUGAAAAUUCCAAAACUUUUUACCCCACUUAUUGAUAAAUCUUGCGCUGCAUCGAUCAUCUGCGCCAGAAUUGUUGGGUUGCAUUUGGAAAAGAUCUGAUUUUUGAGAGAUCCGAUUUCUGUAAGUUGACAUCGAUUUGUCUGGGAAAAGAGAAAUAUGGAGUGUGAAUCAUACUUCCUUAAUGAAGCACGUUCGUUUGCUUUUUUGGCGGUCAACGGAAUUCUUUUCUUUUUAUUCUUAUUUAUACUUUUAUGUUGAAUAAAAAAAUUUGGAAGCUUUCCAAAAUGGAAAUUAUAGAGAUGGUUGUGAUGGCAGGUUUAUCCCUUUAAAGAGCCAUAUAAGGGGUCCUGCUCCAGCUUCUGAUCAAGAACUGCUGAGGACUUAUCUGAAGCAGAUAAGGGAGGAAACAAGUGGGAGACUAUUAAGUGUUUUUUGUGCUAUGUGCGGCAGUUAUGAACAGUACGUAAAAGAGAGAAAGCAAGAAAAAAACACAGAUUUAACGUGGUUCGACAGUUUGCCUACAUUCAUAGGAGCGAGGGCUGAAUUUUCACUAAUUGUCAAAAUAGGGCUACAGAAACUGUAUCUAUACUAACCCUAGCCGUACAAAGGUAAUAGAAAAUUCCAAUAAUAUCCCUGUACCUUUUCUUUUCUUUUCUUUUUGUUUUGCCUCAUAUUGUAUUUUCUUCUCUUCCUUGAGGCUGCAUGUUGUCACCCUGUUCCUGGUAACUAAGAUAUUGUGCAAGUUGAUUUUCUGGCACAAGAAGUAGGCUUUUUCACAGGUUGGUUAAGGGAAUCCGGAUUUUGUACUAUCCAUAAAUACAACAGAGUCUGUGUCGUCCUC